GCUGCAACAACUUUCUCAUGCAGGAAAAGUACGAGAAUAAAAUGAAACAAGAUGUUGAUGAAUCUGGCCAAGUCAAAAAGGAUGAAAAUGAAAGUCAAUAUGUCUCUAAAUUAUCGGAUCAUCAGGAAAUCAAUAUUGCAACCGAAGCAAAUUUAGAAGUCUUUAAUCACCAGG